rnacentral:lncRNA from 1 species
UGGAAAGGUAAAACGGUGCUCCUUAGUCACGCUGGCCACGUGACAACGGAAACUGUCUUUGGACAGGCACUGGCUCUGUGGCUUGAAAAGCAGGAUGAGCGUCUCUCCCUAGAGUCAGACACGACUGGACUAAAAAUGUCAAGAUGAACCUUUACCUUUACCUGACAAACUUCAUAUUUUAUAUCAAUAAUAACUGAGUAGGUUCCUGACACAUAAUAGAUGUUAUCUAAAGCAUUAUAUACAGAUUUUCUUUAUAUAAUUGUUUAGCCAGGGGGUCUCCAAACUUUUCUCCCUUUACUGAAGACUCAGGUGUCUCGCCUUAAUGCAAGAGAAAAUGUUUUAAAGACUACCACCUAAAGUAAGUUGCAAGGAAAGAGUCAAGAGCAGCUAAGCACUUAGGACUCACCAACCUUUCACGUCCAUCAGAUUCAGACAGUAACCACGUGGGUUUGGUCUGGCAAACAGCACAAGCCUGAGUUUUCUUUUAGAAAUAACGAAACCAAAAUAUUCAUAAUUUAUUUUUCUUUAUUUAUAAACGAGCAAUAUGUAGGCAACCUAAUAUAGUAACAACAUAAACCACACAGGGGCUUGAAGUGGAAUUAACUCUCAACCUCUCUGCCUCAACUGACCUAACUCCCCACCCAACCCAACAUUCUUGUCUCUACAGCAACCAGGUAAACAUCAGGCUCUCCAUUCCAUCCCCAGCAACUGCUGCCUAUCCAGGCAAGUGGGGCAACAACUCGCUUCCCAUAGAUCCUGCACCAGAAAAUAUCCCAGACAGAAAGGGAAAGAGGAGCACUAAUGCAUGCCUUCUCCAGUGCCACUGGGACACAGCAGAAAUCUGAACCCAUGCCCAGGGCUUACUUGCCAGCAUGUGCCCUGACAGAACCAUGGAUUGAUCCAUCUGAAGAAGACCUACAAGUGAAACAAAAAUGUUUAGCCCUUUAGAGAAGGGUGCAUGGACAAGAUUAGCACCCCAUGACUACUUCUGUACCCUGGAAUGUAGAGAUACCCUCCCAAAUAAAAUGGUGCUGCAAUAUUUACA